rnacentral:rRNA from 1 species
UUCGCCCUUAGAGUUUGAUCCUGGCUCAGGACGAACGCUGGCGGCGUGCUCAACACAUGCAAGUCGAGCGGGGAUUAAUUGUGGAAGGUUUCGGCUGGAAGCGAUUAAUUCUAGCGGCGGACGGGUGAGUAACGCGUGAGCAAUCUGUCCCAUACAGGAGGAUAACACUUGGAAACAGGUGCUAAUACCGCAUAAGACCACGAGGGGGCAUCUUCUUGAGGUAAAAGAGAUAUCGGUAUGGGGUGAGCUCGCGUCUGAUUAGCUAGUUGGUGAGGUAACGGCCCACCAAGGCGACGAUCAGUAGCCGACCUGAGAGGGUGAUCAGCCACAUUGGGACUGAGACACGGCCCAAACUCCUACGGGAGGCUGCAGUGGGGAAUAUUGGGCAAUGGGGGAAACCCUGACCCAGCAACGCCGCGUGGAGGAAGAAGGUUUUCGGAUCGUAAACUCCUGUCCUCAGGGAAGAGCAGAAGACGGUACCUGAGGAGGAAGCCCCGGCUAACUACGUGCCAGCAGCCGCGGUAAUACGUAGGGGGCAAGCGUUGUCCGGAAUGAUUGGGCGUAAAGGGCGCGUAGGCGGCUUUAUAAGUCUGGAGUGAAAGUCCUGCUUUCAAGGUGGGAAUUGCUUUGGAUACUGUAGAGCUUGAGUGCAGGAGAGGUAAGUGGAAUUCCCAGUGUAGCGGUGAAAUGCGUAGAGAUUGGGAGGAACACCAGUGGCGAAGGCGACUUACUGGACUGUAACUGACGCUGAGGCGCGAAAGUGUGGGGAGCAAACAGGAUUAGAUACCCUGGUAGUCCACACUGUAAACGAUGAAUGCUAGGAGUUAGGAGGUAUCGACCCCUUUUGUACCGCAGUGACCGCAAGAAGCAUUCCGCCUGGGGCAGUACGGCCGCAAAGGUUGAAACUCAUAGGAAUUGACGGGGGCCCGCACAAGCAGCGGUGCAUGUGGUUUAAUUUGAAGCAACGCGGGAGAACCUUACCAGGUCUGAACAUCGUACGCAUAGCUCAGAGAGGAGUGAAAUCUCUUCGGAGACGUAUAGACAGGUGGUGCAUGGUUGUCGUCAGCUCGUGUCGUGAGAUGUUGGGUUAAGUCCCGCAACGAGCGCAACCCUUAUGUUUAGUUGCUACGCAAGAGCACUCUAGACAGACUGCCGUUGACAAAACGGAGGAAGGUGGGGAUGACGUCAAAUCAUCAUGCCCCUUAUGACCUGGGCCUCACACGUACUACAAUGGCUGCAAACAAAGGGAAGCGAAGCAGUGAUGCGGAGCAAAUCCCCAAAAGCAGUCUUAGUUCGGAUUGUAGGCUGCAACUCGCCUACAUGAAGUCGGAAUUGCUAGUAAUCGUAGAUCAGCAUGCUACGGUGAAUACGUUAAAGGGCCUUGUACUCACCGCCCGUCA